UACGUUCAUAUCACGUUGGAGCACCGGUUCCCGUACGAUCACCGAAGUUAAGCAACAUCGAGCCUGAUUACUACUUUGAUGGGUGACCGCUUGGGAAUAUAAAGUGCUGUAAG